rnacentral:rRNA from 1 species
GACAUAGGUGGCGAACGUUAUCCGGAAUUAUUGGGCGUAAAGGAUGCGUAGAUGGCAGAGUAAGUUACUGGUUGAUGUCAAACUCAAUUUGACGGAAGCUGGUAAUACUGUUUUGCUAGAGGACAGGAGAGGUUGAUGGAAUUCUGUGUGGAGCGGUGAAAUGCGUUGAUCUACAGAGGAACACCAAAAAAGGCGAAGGCAGUUAACUAUCCUGUUCCUGACAUUGAGGCAUGAAAGCGUGGGGAGCAAACCGG